CCUGCCAGUAGUCAUAUGCUUUGUUCAAGGGCUAAGCCAUGCAUGUCUCAGCGCAAGUGGGUCUCAACAACAGGUCUGUGAAUGGCUCCGUACAUCAGCAGUCAUCUAUGUGAUAGAGUGUGCAUGGCAGGCUACAGCUGUCCAAUGGACAUCCUCCAAAACCUGGUGGCUAAUACACGCAUCAAAGCGUCUGCCACAGCAAGGUUGGCACCAAGGACUCUGUCCUGCCAAUCGUGGUGGAUUGCAACCAGCCGAGUGAAAGAUCAGCGUCAGUCAAUGGCAGUGUAACCAGCAGCGGAGUCAGGCUGGUCCUUCGGGACACCUGCCCUGGCAAUUCUGCGUGGCAUGUCCACAGCAAGUCUUGCUUGAUCACAUGAACUUCUGACCUAUCAGCUUUGACUGUGGUGUAGUGGACCACAGUGGCUUUCACGGGUGACAGAGAAUCAGGGUUCGAUUCUGGAGAGGGAGCCUGAGAGAUGGCUACCACUGCUAAGGCAGGCAGCAGGCGCGCAAAUUGCCCAAUGGAGACACAAAUCCGAGGCAGCAACGAACAGCAGCAACUCCAAGGGUCGUUCGGCCCAAGGAGCUUGGAAUGGAUGCUAUCCAAACACAGUGAUGAUUAGCAACUGGAGGGCAAGUCUGGUGCCAGCAGCUGCGGUAAUUCCAGCUCCAAGAGCGUAUACUAACAUUGCUGCUGUUAAAGCACUUGUAGUCAGCCACUGGGCUGCAGGUCUGCCUGAGGCCAGCUUGUGCUGUCUGCCUGACCUUCGGGUUUGGGUGGGUGGUGCUUGUUGGAACCCAACCUCAGGUGGUAUGUCCCUGCUCCCGCAUUACAGAUGGUGUGAGUGCUCCUGCACAAAGCCUUCUUCACUGAAGGUCAAGGCGGUAUAUGCAACCGAGGCUUGUGUCUAGGGCAAUAGAGCCCCAGAGUCCUUGUGGCUCAUGGGGAAGCCCUUCCAAAGGGAGUCCACCAUCACUGUCACCCUGGAAAACUCAGUGUGCUCCAAGCAUCCAGAGACAUCUGAUUGGCUGAAUGAUCAUCCAGUGAAUGGCAAGGCACCGACCUGAUGUGGCAACAGAGUUGUGCUGAGCUUGGCGCCCAAUCAGGGCAAUGUGGUUCUGUUCCCUGGCAUUGCCUUGCCAAGGGUUGCUUCGGCUUCCCUGUGCAGUCCAAAUGUGGCAGUACCAAUCGCAAGUGAGGGAAGCACUCGAGGUGAAAGCUAUUGCAACGCCAGAGGUGAAAUUCUUAGACCGCUGCAGGAGCAACAGCGGCAAAGGCGUUCUGCAAGUCAGUGUUCGUCGAUCAAGAAUGAGAGCCUGGGGAUCAAAGAUGAUCAGACACCGUCGUAGUCCAGAGCUGUAAACGGUACCAGCUCGGUGCUGGUGGGACAUACUCACCAUCCCAUCAGCGCCUGCCUCCCACAACGAGAAAUCCGAGCCAUCGGGUUCAGGGGGGAGUACCGUCGCAAGGCUGGAACUUAAAGGAAUUGACGGAAUGGCACCACAAGGCGUGGAGUAUGCGGCUUAAUUUGACUCAACACGGGGAACGUUACCAGGUCAGGACCCUGCAGGGAUGGACAGAUUGAUAGCUCUUUCUUGAUUCUCGGGAUGGUGGUGCAUGGCCGCUCCUGAUUGGUGGAGUGAUUUGUCUGGUUGAUUCCGAUAACGAGUGAGACAUCUGCCUUCCAGUAGCCCCAGGCUCGCAUUUGGUAGGGAUUGGCUUGCAUCGGCCAAGGGUUCGCCCAAGGCUGUUGUGGCUGCCCGAGAGCCUGUGGACAAGCUUCUCUGAGGUGCUGUGUUCGCUCCCAAGAGCACGCAUGCUAGAGCCAACAGCAGGUCUGUGAUGCUCCCAGAUGUCCUGGGCCGCACGCGCACUACAUUGUCGCAGUGAAGGUGUUUCCACUGGAACCUUAGGACUUGUGCCUGAGGCCUAGCCAGACGUGGCUGGGGAAUCAUGCAAGCCUGUGGCGUACUGGGGAUAGAUGAUUGCAACUGUCUGCCUUGAACAAGGAAUGCCUAGUAUGCGUGUGUCAUCAGCACACACCGAUUGUGUCCCUGCCAUUUGUACACACCGCCCGUCGUUGCUACCGAUGAGUGCUGGAUAGAGCCAUCAGGAGGCCAAAGAGCUUCGUGCUCACACCCAAAAUUGGGCAAUGUCCAGUGCUUAGAGGAAGCAAAAGUC
rnacentral:rRNA from 1 species